AAACCUUUGCCAACACUCUGGCCUUUAUCCCUUUCCUUUUUCAAAUCGAGAUUGGAAAACCAUACCCAGGAUAUAGGCCUAUUUUGGUGCAAAGAAGAUCAAACCAAUCUUCUGACACGUUACUCACCACGGCAUUCCGAUCUUUCCGAGGUCUUAUGGAUGCAGUGGUCCAUCUUUAUUCUGUGUCUACAA
rnacentral:snoRNA from 1 species